UUUCCGUAGGUGAACCUGCGGAAGGAUCAUUGUCGAAGCCUGCCCAGCAGAACGACCCGCGAACUUGUAUAAACAACCGGGGGCAGGGGCGAUCUCGCCCCGUGCCCUCGAACGGCAGGGAGACACUCGUGCCUUCUUGUCGAACAACGAACCCCGGCGCGGUUUGCGCCAAGGAACUUCAAUUAAAGAGUGCCUCCGGUCGCCUCGGAAACGAUGCGCGUGUCGGAGGCGAAUCUUGUACAAAACCAUAACGACUCUCGGCAACGGAUAUCUCGGCUCUC
rnacentral:misc_RNA from 1 species